AGAGUUUGAUCCUGGCUCAGGAUGAACGCUGGCGGCGUGCCUAAUACAUGCAAGUAGAACGCUGAAGGAGGAGCUUGCUUCUCUGGAUGAGUUGCGAACGGGUGAGUAACGCGUAGGUAACCUGCCUGGUAGCGGGGGAUAACUAUUGGAAACGAUAGCUAAUACCGCAUAAGAGCAGUUGUUGCAUGACAGCUGUUUAAAAGGUGCAAUUGCACCACUACCAGAUGGACCUGCGUUGUAUUAGCUAGUUGGUGAGGUAACGGCUCACCAAGGCGACGAUACAUAGCCGACCUGAGAGGGUGAUCGGCCACACUGGGACUGAGACACGGCCCAGACUCCUACGGGAGGCAGCAGUAGGGAAUCUUCGGCAAUGGGGGCAACCCUGACCGAGCAACGCCGCGUGAGUGAAGAAGGUUUUCGGAUCGUAAAGCUCUGUUGUAAGAGAAGAACGAGUGUGAGAGUGGAAAGUUCACACUGUGACGGUAUCUUACCAGAAAGGGACGGCUAACUACGUGCCAGCAGCCGCGGU
rnacentral:rRNA from 2 species